rnacentral:rRNA from 1 species
UACGGAAGGCAGCAGUGGGGAAUAUUGCACAAUGGGCGAAAGCCUGAUGCAGCUAUGCCGCGUGUAUGAAGAAGGCCUUAGGGUUGUAAAGUACUUUCAUCGGGGAGGAAAAAACAAAACUAAUAAUUUUAUUUCUUGACGUUACCCGAAAAAGAAGCACCGGCUAACUCCGUGCCAGCAGCCGCGGUAAUACGGAGGGUGCUAGCGUUAAUCAGAAUUACUGGGCGUAAAGAGCACGUAGGUGGUUUUUUUAAGUCAGAUGUGAAAUCCCUGGGCGUUAACCUAGGAACUGCAUUUUGAAACUGAAAUACUAGAGUAUCGUAGAGGGAGGUAGAAUUCUAGGUGUAGCGGUGAAAUGCGUAGAUAUCUGGAGGAAUACCUGUGGCGAAAGCGGCCUCCUAAACGAAUACUGACACUGAGGUGCGAAAGCGUGGGGAGCAAACAGGGAUUAGAUACC